rnacentral:rRNA from 1 species
UACGUAGGGCGCAAGCGUUGUCCGGAAUCAUUGGGCGUAAAGAGCUCGUAGGCGGCCUGUUGCGUCCGCUGUGAAAACUCGGGGCUUAACCCCGAGCCUGCAGUGGAUACGGGCAGGCUAGAGGCAGGUAGGGGAGAAUGGAAUUCCCGGUGUAGCGGUGAAAUGCGCAGAUAUCGGGAGGAACACCGGUGGCGAAGGCGGUUCUCUGGGCCUGACCUGACGCUGAGGAGCGAAAGCGUGGGGAGCGAACAGG